rnacentral:misc_RNA from 1 species
GAACGCACAUUGCGCCCGCCAGUAUUCUGGCGGGCAUGCCUGUUCGAGCGUCAUUUCAACCCUCAAGACCCCUUCGGGGGACUUGGUGUUGGGGACCGGCACAGGGGCCUGCCUGCUUGUCUUGCAGCGCCCUCGCCGCCCCCGAAAUGAAUUGGCGGCCUCGUCGCGGCCUCCCCUGCGUAGUAGCACAACCUCGCAACGGGAACGUGACGGCGGCCACUGCCGUAAAACAACCCCAAUUUUAUUAGAGUUGACCUCGAAUCAGGUAGGAAUACCCGCUGAACUUA